rnacentral:rRNA from 1 species
ACAAUGGCAGGUACAGAGGGAUGCUACCGGGCGACCGGAUGCGGAUCUCGAAAGCCUGUCCCAGUUCGGACUGGAGUCUGCAACCCGACUCCACGAGGUUGGAUUCGCUAGUAAUCGCGCAUCAGCCAUGGCGCGGUGAAUACGUUCCCGGGCCUUGUACACACCGCCCGUCAAGCCAUGGGAGCCGGGGGCGCCUGAAGUCCGGGACCGCGAGGACCGGCCUAGGGCGAAACUGGUAACUGGGGCUAAGUCGUAACAAGGUAGC